rnacentral:misc_RNA from 1 species
UUUGUUUCCCUUUAAUUUUUAUGUAAGAGAUGUUUCCUUUUCUAUUUAGUUUCCAAAACAGUGUAAUUGUUAUUCUGAUUUUUUUGUUAACCAUUAAGCUCUACCUCGAAAUUACGAAGGGAGUCUGUAAAAGCACUAAACGACUUGAUGGGAAAACGAUUAUUAUCACAGGUGCCAAUACUGGUAUCGGUAAAGAAACCGCGCUUGAUCUUGCUUCUAGAGGUGGUCGUAUCAUUCUAGCCUGCCGAGAUUUGAAAAAGGCAUCUGUAGCCAAAGAUGACAUUGGUCAAAAAUCAGGAAACUACAAUGUCUUGGUCAAGAAACUUGAUUUGGCAUCCUUGGCAUCAGUCAGACAGUUUGCUGAAGAUAUAUUAAAAAAUGAACCUAAACUUCAUAUCCUUAUUAACAAUGCUGGAUGUGGUGGAAUUAAACAACAGUAUACACAGGAUGGACUCGAAAACCAAAUGCAAUCAAACCACUUUGGGCAUUUUUUGCUUACAAAUUUGUUACUAGGUUUAAUGAUCAGGACUGCCGAAAAAGAACAAGAAAAUGCCCGCAUCAUCAAUGUCAGCUCCGACGCAAACCACCUUUGUAGAAGUCUGAACUUUGAAGACCUGAAUUUCGUUCGAGACCGUACGGCGGGAACGUUUUUGGCGCCUUAUAAAAUUUAUGGAACGUCAAAGCUGUGCAAUAUUCUUUUCAGCAUUGAACUAGCUAACAAGCUCGAACUCCAUGGAAGAGCUGUUACGGUGAAUUCUCUUCAUCCAGGUGCCGUGUACACUGAAUUCGGGCGCUUUUCCAGCAUAGUUUCGACGAUCAUGACCAUUUUGGUUUCUUUUUUGAAGACCCCCAAGGAAGGUGCGCAGACUACCAUUUACUUGGCUGUGGCAGACGAAGUUGCAAAUGUGACUGCACAGUAUUUUCGCGAUUGCAAGAUUGCCAAACCAUCAAAGCUUGCCCAAGACAGCGGAAUGGCAAAAAAAUUGUGGGAUGUAAGCGAAACGCUCGUUCGUCUUGAAUCAUAUGAAAAAUUCUUUUGAUGGUCGAAUUUUUCGUCCAUCUCCUUCAAAUUAGCGGGGAAAAUUUAAUGAUCUAUCAUCGCCGCCAUAACAUCUAAAUUGACUUGUAAUUCAUUAGACCAUUUCUUCAAGAUUACCGUUCUGUUAAAUGUUAAAGCAAAACCUUUUCCACAUCUUCAUAAAAAAUAUUUCCGAAUACGA